rnacentral:rRNA from 1 species
UGCAUAUCAAUAAGCGGAGGAAAAGAAACCAACAGGGAUUGCCUCAGUAACGGCGAGUGAAGCGGCAAAAGCUCAAAUUUGAAAUCUGGCACCUUCGGUGUCCGAGUUGUAAUUUGAAGAAGGUAACUUUGGAGUUGGCUCUUGUCUAUGUUCCUUGGAACAGGACGUCACAGAGGGUGAGAAUCCCGUGCGAUGAGAUGCCCAAUUCUAUGUAAAGUGCUUUCGAAGAGUCGAGUUGUUUGGGAAUGCAGCUCUAAGUGGGUGGUAAAUUCCAUCUAAAGCUAAAUAUUGGCGAGAGACCGAUAGCGAACAAGUACAGUGAUGGAAAGAUGAAAAGAACUUUGAAAAGAGAGUGAAAAAGUACGUGAAAUUGUUGAAAGGGAAGGGCUUGAGAUCAGACUUGGUAUUUUGCAAGCUUUACCUUCGUGGUGGAGUCCCCUGCAGUUUACUGGGCCAGCAUCGGUUUGGAUGGUAGGAUAAUGACUUGGGAAUGUGGCUUUGCUUCGGUAAAGUGUUAUAGCCCUUGUUGAUGCUACCUGUCUAGACCGAGGACUGCGUCUUUGACUAGGAUGUUGGCAUAAUGAUCUUAAGUCGCCCGUCUUG